AAUGCCCCAGGCAGUCUGUGGGAACUGUCCCUCAAGUCCCUUCAGGCAUCGAAACAAACCACUGAAUUAUUACAGGGCAGGGGACCAUGUCAUUGGCGGAAUCAUCUCACCCAAACCUGCUUUCUUUGAACCAUACAUCUUUUCUAAGCCCCCAUCAACAAAGCUUGUUGAGUAAGUAACUGUAUGUUUCAGAUGGAUCUAAUGUUGCCCUAUUGACACUCUGGAUGCUCCCAGAUAUACAAAGUUUAGGCAAUGUUGAAAUUAGAUCAAGUCUUUAUUGAACAUUACAGUGGUACCUCGGGUUACAGACACCUCAGGUUACAGAUGCUUCAGGUUACAGACUCCGCUAACUCAGAAAUAGUACCUCGGGUUAAGAACUUUGCUUCAGGAUGAGAACAGAAAUCACUCGGUGGUGGCGCGGCCCAUUAGCUAAAGUUGUACCUCAGGUUAAGAACAGUUUCAGGUUAAGAACGGACCUCCAGAAUGAAUUCAGUUCUUAACCCAAGGUACCACUGUAUUUCUGAUUUAUUAAUGAAACAGUCAUGUGACAAUAAGUGUUGCUUCUGCAUUCAUCUCCAUUAACGUGGGGUAUUUAGACACCUUCACAUUGGUCCUUUGUUCAUCCAAUGUGUUCCAAUGCCUUCUGCUGUCACCUUCCAGAAUGCAAAGAGUCCAUUUCUUUUUAAGAAUGUGGAUUUGUUGUGGCAGGGCAACAGGGUCCUUUAAUCCAUUUCAAUUGCACAAACCCGAAGUUCUCAAAUCCCACCAGCCAUAUAGUGACAGUCCACAACAGAGUUUCUCUCAGUGCUUAUUGUAACUUUCAGGGGGUUAGCUAAAAGUAUUUUCUGCUGCAAAAUCAGAGCAUCCUUUCAUCAGCUUUCAAGCCUUUCACAAAACUUGAAAAUGUAUUUUGAUUUUGUUAUUUGAAGACUGUGGACUUUUCAUCAUGAAAAAUAACCUUUCAAUUUUCCUCUGAAUUGGUGAGUUAAGAUCUGCUUUGCAACAAGGGAAGGUCUCCCACCUUCAGUAAAAACAUUACAAAGCAUUUUUUUGGGUGGGGGGAGGAGAUGUUGCCCAGAAAAGUCCUUUGAUUAAUAAAAAUAAAGAAUUUGCCAUUCUCUUUUCAUUGAAUGGAGAAUGGCGUCCUGGUCAUAACUGUUGUGUUUGCUGGUUUGCAGUUUGGCUCCAAUGAUGUAUUGGCACAUUCUGUCCUUCUUGUUUGCUGUUCAGGAGAUGAAUCAGGAUACCCAACAUCACCCUAGGCUACAGCCUCUUUGAAACCUAUUUUAAUGGCAGACUGGUUUCCAAUGCAAUGCUAGACAUGCAUUCUGGUGGGGAAAGCCAUCUUUCUUCCAAACUAUAACUGCGGAUGGCGGAAGAACCUCUUGGCUGUUUUUGAAAGGGCUGAACCUGACAACUCCAUCCAGAUUUCAAGCAUGUUGGGCAUGUACAAAAUCCCACAGGUAAUAAUAAUAAUAAUAAUUUUUAUUUAUACCCCGCCCUCCCCAGCCAAGGCUGGGCUCAGGGCGGCUUACAAGCAAUAAUAAAAACAAGCUGAAUGAUUACAACUUAAAAACAAAAUUAAAUACAACAUUAAAAUAUUGAAACAUUAAAAUAUUAAAAUGUAGCCUCAUCGCAGGAGGAGAAGGAAAAGAAAAAGAAAGAGGGGAGGGAAUCAAAUUGGCUCCAAGCCAAAGGCCAGGCGGAACAACUCUGUCUUACAGGCCCUGCGGAAAGAAAUCAGAUCCUGCAGGGCCCUGGUCUCAUGAGGCAGAGCGUUCCACCAGGCCGGAGCCAGAGUUGAAAAGGCCCUGGCUCUGGUUGAAGCUAAUCUAACUUCCUUAGGGCCCGGGACCACUAGGGUGUUGCUAUUUAUGGACCUUGAGGCUCUCCGUGGGGCAUACCAGGAGAGGCGGUCCCGUAGGUAUGAGGGUCCUAGGCCGUGAAGGGCUUUAAAGGUCAAAAGCAGCACCUUAAAUCUGACCCUGUACUUCACCAGGAGCCAGUGCAGCUUGAAAAGCACUGGGUGAAUAUGCUCCCACGGCAGAGACCCCGUGAGGAGCCUCGCUGCAGCAUUCUGCACCCGCUGGAGUUUCUGUGACAGCUUCAAGGGCAGCCCCGCGUAGAGCGAAUUACAGUAGUCAAGCCUGGAGGUGACCGUCGCAUGGAUCACUGUGGCCAGGUCGGGGAGGUAGGGACUGGAAUGCCUCCCUGUCAAAUAUACUACAGUUUAUGGAUUGCCAGUAUGUGCAGGGGAUUAGACUACAUGACCACGUAGCUCUCUCCCAACUCUGCCAUUCACUUUUUAGGAAAGGAUGGUCCAAAAAGACCUACAAUAAGGUGAAUCUAGCCUGAGAUUCCCCAGAAACAUCAGAAGCACAGAGGGGCUUGAUCACAUCAAAGGACCAGUUAGCCCAGCAUCUUGUUUUCAGGUGAGCUCACCUGAUGCCUCUUCUGGAAAGCCUGCAAUCAGGACGCUCUUCACAAUUUUGCUUCACAGCAGCUGGCAUUCAGAGGCUUCCUGCCUCUGAAAGUGGAGGGAAAAUGUGUUCGUUGUGGGUAGAAAAGAUUGAAUGCCUUAUCCUACCUGAAUUUAUCUUAUCCUUUUUGAAAACCAUCAGAGUUGGUGAAAAUCACUACAGUUUGUGGGGGCCGCAAAGAAAAUGUCAAGAAAGCUUCAAUCUAGUUUAUACUAACAUGGUACAAUUUGUUUGACAUUACAAUGGUUACUAUUUGUUAUAUUUGGUGGUUACAAUAGUCAUUACUGACUUUUCCAGUUUAUAAUGAAAAAUCUAUCUUUUAAAAAUGUAUUAAUGGAACUUUUUGCACCACUUAGUGCAGCGUAUUGAUAAAUCUAAUUACAGGCACCAUUUCACCAUCCAUUCACUAUGCUAGUUUAUUGUGUGUUUUUAUAAUUAGGUUCAAGACAAUCUCAAAAAGUGAGGUUUCUCCUAAGCAUCCAAAACACAUCUUUAUAUAUCACUAGGGGUGUGUGUGUGUGUGUGUGUGUGUGUGUGUGUGUCUGCCUGCCUGCGUGUGUGUGUGUGUGUGUGUGUGUGUAUACACCCCCCACAGCCUAGUAUUCUUACAAUAUAUACAUAUUUUGUCACAUAGCUAUAUAUUUCUCCACAACCUAAUAUUCUGAAGAAAGAGAAUAUCUGGACCUAAAUCAGCCUCUACUCUUCCUCAGCAGGUCAGCUAUGGCUCUUCUCAUAGUGAUAAAACUCAGUUCCCUUUUGUCUACCAGAUGAUCCCCAAGGAAGAAAUCCAGUACCUGGGGGUUGUCAAGUUGCUCCUGCAUUUUGGAUGGACACGGAUUGGUCUCUUUGCUUCAGACAAUGACAGUGGAGAAAGGUUUUUGAAUGCUGUGAGACCUCUGAUGAUGGGUAGAGGAAUCUGUGUUGCCUUCUCCGAAAGAGUGGAACGUGAGACUCUAUAUGCAGAGUUCAUGGAGAGGAAGCCAACUGUCAUGUGGAUAAAAGUCACUGUAUUUGUCUUCUGCGGGGACUGUCGCUAUGAAUUUACUCCAAUAUUUGUGAUACAAGAAAUUCUUGAAAAGAUACAAACUGGGGGGAAAGUUUGGAUUACAACAGCUUUUCAAGACAUCUUCAGGCUUUUGCACUACGAAAUUAAGCACUUUAUGUACACCCAUGGUUCUUUGUCCUUCACAAUGAAGACCAGAAGAUGGACAAAACAUGACUACUUUGAGCCAUGGUCUGAAAGGACAAUACAAUUUUGGGAUGAAUCAUUUCACUGUUUAUGUUCCAAGGAUGUCUUGCCCAUGAAACAAUGGAUAAGGUGCACAGAGAAAGAGAAACUGGAGAUUCUUCUCCAGGAGGAGAUUGAAAGGGUCCUGUCUCAAAACAGCUAUAUUACUUACAACAGCGUCCAAGCUGUGGCACUUGCCUUAAAUUCUGCCUAUUCUUCCAGAUCCAAACAGAUGCUGAUGAUGGGUAGAGGAGACAAUUGGGGACAUGGAAGACUGAAGCCAUGGCAGGUACAC